CCGUGCUAAGGUAGCGCAAUCCAUUGCCCUUUAAUUGUGGGCCAGUAUGAAUGGACCCACGGAAGCAAAGCUGUCUCUGUAGGACAAAUAAAAGUUACCGUUUAGGUGAAAAGGCCUAAAUUCUGUAAAAAGACAAAAAGACCCUGUAGAGCUUAACUUAUAAAGUGCCUCAACAAAAGUAGUCUACAACCCACCCCACUUAAAAGUUUUGUUGGGGCGACAAAGGACUAUCCAAAACGUCCUCUCUCUAUUUAGACCAACGUCUCUUAAUGACCCAAACAAUUGUUCAAAAAACAUAGCUACCUCAGGGAUAACAGACCAAUCCCCCUCACAAGUUCAAAUUUACAGGGGAGUUUGGCACCUCG
rnacentral:rRNA from 1 species